UGAAUGCCUGUGAUGGUGUUAAAUAUACUUUGAGAGCUAAGUCUCCAGGAAAACUAAACUACUCUGAGGCUAUUC
rfam:Brassica rapa chromosome A7, whole genome shotgun sequence.